GGCAAGUUGAAGCUGGCUUACCUGAUUACAGCUAAGUAUUUUGGUAAUGAUGCCUCUGAUAAACAGUGAGACCUUCACCCAUAGAAGUAGAAGAUGCUACUAGUGAUGAGGAUGUAUUCUUUUUGGGCAUUCUGUUGGUGACCUCUGGGCCUGUGAAGACUCUAUAAAGGAAGAGUGUCCAAUUGUACCUGCCUCUUUGUUGGACAAAGUUCCAAUACAUUUUUAGUUACAUAUCUGCCAAUUCCUGAUCACUGUGCUAGAAACAGCUACCAGAAACAGUUUAUGAUUUGUUACUCAGGUUUACAGUCAAGAAGCAUGUAUUUGAUUAGCCACAUAUUUGUGUCUGAUGUUUGAAUGACACAGCUUUGGGUGCUCAUAUUCUGCCUUACAGUAAACAUGUUGAAGAUACUUGAAAAUGGUGUUGGCAAAGAUAAAUGUUUUUCCUUUGUCUCACGGAGCAUAAGCCAUCAUGGCAUUACCUGCUGUUUAAUGCUUGCCUCCUUUUUGCUUUUACUAUCAUCAGUGCUACCAUCAGUAGUGUCAGCUCAGCUCUUGAAUUAGAACUUGCAAGUUAACUUGUAUUCCCUGUGCUGUCUAGCUGUCUACUCUGUAACAGCAGAACCAGAAUAUUGCCAAGUCUUGCAUAAACAAUGCCUAUUGCUUUUGCUUUAAUUUCUUAGUAACACAGGAGUAGAUUUUAAAAUGUGUAUUAAAGUGAAGAGGACAUGUUCAACCAGAUUAUAACAAUUCUAACAUACAGAGACUUGGUGACUCAAAUUACUACUUUGUAUAUUAAAAAUGUAAUAAAUAUACUGC